rnacentral:rRNA from 1 species
GAUGAACGCUGGCGGCGUGCCUAAUACAUGCAAGUCGAGCGAACAGACGAGGAGCUUGCUCCUCUGACGUUAGCGGCGGACGGGUGAGUAACACGUGGAUAACCUACCUAUAUGACUGGGAUAACUUCGGGAAACCGGAUCUAAUACCGGAUAAUAUAUUGAACCGCAUGGUUCAAUAGUGAAUGACGGUUUUGCUGUCACUUAUAGAUGGAUCCGCGUCGCAUUAGCUAGUUGGUAAGGUACCGGCUUACCAAGGCAACGAUGCGUAGCUGACCUGAGAGGGUGAUCAGCCACACUGGAACUGAGACACGGUCCAGACUCCUACGGGAGGCAGCAGUGGGGAAUCUUGCGCAAUGGGCGAAAGCUUGACGGAGCAAUACCGCGUGAGUGAUGAAGGUCUUCGGAUCGUAAAACUCUGUUAUUAGGGAAGAACAGAUGUGUAAGUAACUAUGCACGUCUUGACGGUACCUAAUCAGAAAGCAACGGCUAACUACGUG